UACGUAGGGAGCAAGCGUUGUUCGGAUUUACUGGGCGUAAAGGGCGCGUAGGCGGCGCGGUAAGUCACUUGUGAAAUCUCUGAGCUUAACUCAGAACGGCCAAGUGAUACUGCAGUGCUAGAGUGCAGAAGGGGCAAUCGGAAUUCUUGGUGUAGCGGUGAAAUGCGUAGAUAUCAAGAGGAACACCUGAGGUGAAGACGGGUUGCUGGGCUGACACUGACGCUGAGGCGCGAA
rnacentral:rRNA from 1 species